rnacentral:rRNA from 1 species
UAGGGAAUCUUCGGCAAUGGACGAAAGUCUGACCGAGCAACGCCGCGGGAGUGAAGAAGGUUUUCGGAUCGUAAAACUCUGUUGUUAGAGAAGAACAAGGACGUUAGUAACUGAACGUCCCCUGACGGUAUCUAACCAGAAAGACACGGCUAACUACGUGCCAGCAGCCGCGGUAAUACGUCGGUGGCAAGCGUUGUCCGGAUUUAUUGGGCGUAAAGCGAGCGCAGGCGGUUUCUUAAGUCUGAUGUGAAAGCCCCCGGCUCAACCGGGGAGGGUCAUUGGAAACUGGGAGACUUGAGUGCAGAAGAGGAGAGUGGAAUUCCAUGUGUAGCGGUGAAAUGGGUAGAUAUCUGGAGGAACACCAGUGGCGAAGGCGGCUCUCUGGUCUGUAACUGACGCUGAGGCUCGAAAGCGUGGGGAGCAAACAGG